rnacentral:rRNA from 1 species
AUUGAACGCUGGCGGCAGGCCUAACACAUGCAAGUCGAGCGAGCGGCGGACGGGUGAGUAAUGUCUGGGAAACUGCCCGAUAGAGGGGGAUAACUACUGGAAACGGUAGCUAAUACCGCAUACUAUCGGAUGAACCCAUAUGGGAUUAGCUAGUUGGUGGGGUAAAGGCUCACCUAGGCGACGAUCUCUAGCUGGUCUGAGAGGAUGAUCAGCCACACUGGGACUGAGACACGGUCCAGACUCCUACGGGAGUCAGCAGUGGGGAAUAUUGCACAAUGGGCGCAAGCCUGAUGCAGCCAUGCCGCGUGUAUGAAGAAGGCCUUCGGGUUGUAAAGUACUUUCAGCGGGGAGGCGUUACCCGCAGAAGAAGCACCGGCUAACUCCGUGCCAGCAGCCGCGGUAAUUC